rnacentral:lncRNA from 1 species
AAGCCACGACAUAUCAAACAUUCUUUUCCACGACGUAUCACCUGGGUUUGAGUAGCAUUGGCCACGGAGGUUCGAGAUUUAACAUUGUCUCCUCCGGCCCCAAAGGAUUAGCCUCCGGCCCCAAAGGAUUAGUCUUUGGGCCUAGAAAGCUUUUGGGAUCAAUUAUGAGUUAUAAAAAAAAAAUCCUCAAAAAAAAAAAUUCUAAAUAAAAUCUGAGAAAAAUAUUAUAUUUUCCUAUCUAACUCAUGUUAUAGAACUGCCG